CCGUAGCUCAGCUGGAUAGAGUACCUGGCUACGAACCAGGCGGUCAGAGGUUCGAAUCCUCUCGG
rnacentral:tRNA from 1 species